AAUUGUAGAAUUGUAAUUAAUAAUUGUGUAAUCUUGUAAGUGAAAUAAUACAGAUUAAAUAGUUUAUUCAUGGUCUGUGUGGUUUGCUUUAGAGCUUUGUGAUUUACACAUUUGAUAGAUACCUUAGCUCAUGGGAAUCAAAAGCUCUGAAUGUCUUGCAAGUCCUGUUAACACAGGUAGAAGCUGCAGAUACGGACUGCCCAUAGAGUCCAGCUCCGAACUUACUACAGAUGUGAUUCCUGUUUCAAUAAAAGCAGUGCUUCCAGUUUCUGGUUAGUACAUGAUUUUUAGGGCAGGAGUUACAAAUUGUAAGAAUAUAACCGUACUGAAACUCAGUGAGGGUUGAGCACCUAUCAUCCUAGGCUCCUUUGCAAAAUUCCAAACAAAAUCUUCGAUAGCCUGGAGCACUAUACCUCAUAUUUUGUGUGAAAAUAUUACUGUUUAAGUUAGGUUAAGCAUUUUUAGCAUGUUGUAUAUUUUAAUUAUUAGCUGAUAUAAAUGAUAAACAUUAAUUCAAAUAGAUUUCUUCGAGCAUUUUAAGUAAUACAUUUCUCUGAAGCAGUUUUGGUGUAUUUUUUUGUGUUUAUAUUUAAAUGCUUCAGUCUGCAUAGUUACUAUAUGCCAACUAGUACUUAUAUGAAUUUGUAUAUUGUCUUGUUAGAAGGAAACCCACCACCAGCCUUGCAGGAAAGGACUUUAUUGUAUUGUCUGUGGAGCUGAAAUACUGCCAAAAGCAGAGGGAAUUUUGAGAAAAGCUUGCUACAGUAAUAUUGAACUGAAAAUAAUCUGGAAACUCUUCAGAAAUACUAAUAUAAGGAGUAAAGAUUCCAUUAGUAAUUGUAUGUGUGAACUAGAUGCCAUUUCAGAAGAUGAUAAUAUGAUGUUGAUCAUCUCAGAUGCUGCAAGUCUUAGUCAUCUUAAAGAAACUUUGAAGGUGUAUCAGAUGCCAGUGAAAAAUGAAGGUAAAUCUUACUGAUUACUGAUAAACAGCACUUAACACUUGUCAAGUCCUUUAGCUUUACUUUAUAUACAACACAUUGUUUUCUUUCAUUUCCUGCAGAUGCUUUUGAUUUUGGUAACAUGUUUUUAUCUCUUGAUCUAUGUGCGAAAUCUCCUCCUGUGGAGAGGACAAGUACAAGUCUCUUGCCCCACGUAGCCUCCAAAAUAGCACUAUACAGGUUUUGCAGAUAGUUUUAAUGGAAAACAUUUUUAAGCCAAGAGAAACAUGUGAGCUUUCAAAAAGACUAUAACCUGUCUUUUGUUAAAUUGUUACGUAGGUAGAAUGUUCGAAGUUGUACUAAAGCUUUUUCAUAGGAAGUUUCCUCCCUGUAAGGGACAUGGAAUGCCAUGUUACAAACCAUGCAUUCUGCCUGUUUUCUUCUCUGUUAGCAAUUGGCUGAGUGUAGUUGCUGCAAACACUUUUCUUUUUUGUGUCAGGAGGGUCUCGGUAUUGAUUUUUGCCCAUCUACUGAUGAGUAAUUCUGACUUCAUUUUUUGUGUGAUCUUCAUCUCUCAGCAUCUUGCUUUGUUACAUCUUUGUUGAAGAGAUAGUUUGUUUAACAGUGUUUUGUUUAUUGCCACAGUGUGGUGGUGGAGUGCAUUGUUCUUUAACUUCCACACCUUUCCAUUGCUCCUACUUCACUCUGAAGUAAGUUUGAAGGAAGUCUGGUAGUUCUUUACUCCAUGUGGGUGAAAUACUCUAGUUAUUUGCUUUCUCCUUCAAGAACAUCUUUCCUUGUCAUAGCUUGUUGAAAGGAACAAUUUUAUUUCUUAAAGCAAAUGAAAUUAUUUUUUUCCUGAACGGAAAUACCAAAUCUUUCAAUGAUACCGGUAUUUCUGUGUCCCAUUGCCAAGGAUUGUGAAUGUUUCUGAAAACUGCAGGAAAUAUUUGGAAGGUGAAUCAGACAUAGAAGUGAUACUACCGUGUUGAAAGAUGUUAGUGACAACUGUAUACUAUCUUUGACCUUGAAUAAACAAGGAACAUUAUUUAAAGCUUAUGAGGAGGAGUUUGGCCAUUUUAUGGAGUAAGGAAGCUGAAGGCAGUAGAAGCUUACUGUCCGAGGCACAGCGUUUGGCUAGAAAGCAGAUAAACAGCAAAACUAUGUGGGUCAGUGGUUUUUUUCGGGAAACUGGAAAUACAGAAAAUCGGAUAUUGACAGUUGUCCUUGGCCAAGAAAAUACAUUAUAUACAUUUGUUUUCUCUUGACUGGCCUAUUCACAAGACUUACAGCCUUUGCCUUUGACCUUUUGGGAAGUUGAUGGAAAGAUUUUUUCCUUUGAGAUGCCAUCUUGUUCCCUCAACCAUCAAAUUGAGAGAGCAUUGGUUGACACACAAAAGGAGUGCCACACACAAUUUACGGUUGACUGGAAGCAGGCAGAACUCCACUGAGAUUUGUUGAGCUCUGCAUGUUUAGCCAAACACUGAAGAUGCAUACCAGUUUACCCUCCACUCCCAAAUUGCUUGGGCUCUUACGUAGUACUCUGAUCAAAAAGAAAAGGUAAGGAUAAUGAGAACAGAACCAUUUACUUAUAACAAAUUAAAAUCCAUGAAUUGGAGGUAUAGACCCAGCAGCCCCCGUGGUUCAAGCAGGGCUUUGCAGAAGCAGUGUAUUUGCUGUGAAAUGGUUCCUGGUGUCAGACCAUGAACUGUUUAAUCCUUUAGCAGCUUUCAGGUGACAGAAACCAAAAGUGAAGUACUUCCAUUUGUUCAUACGUGGGCAAUUCUAGUGUUAGGGUAGCACAAUUAAUAAUACAUGUUGGGGUUUUUUUUUUCACAAGGACUUUAUUCUAGAAGUUACUACAACUGCAGAGAUUAGUAAACAUUCUUUACCAUGUUACUGUCUGGCAGAACAAGAGCAUUACAUUUUGAAAUUUGAAGUGCAACUUGUGAUCACUUGUCUGUUUUAAAAUAUCUCUCAAUGCCUAUAUAAAGCACUUUUUCUUUCUUUUUGAAAGACUUGAAUGCCAGUUUAUCUUUAAAUGCUGUUUGGAAUGAGAAGGAAUAUUCUCUGACAAGUUACUUGCAAUGCAGGAGCUGUGUCAUUCAGUCGAUUUCUCCAUGUCCUUUGAUAGGAGCUGAGGUUACUCAUUUCAAUAAUAAAGUACAGUCAUGGGUAAGUCAAAUUAUUUUGUAUAUUAAAAUAAAUAGAAUGGCUUGUAUAGUAAAUAUUAAAAUACUAUUUCUGUAAAGUUAGAAUGAAAAUUUUAUUUUAUCUAAAUGAAUUGUUCAUGAUUCAUCUAACUUCUACCACAGAGAUCUGGAAUUAUAGAUGAGAGCUGAGUUCAGGUCACUUAAUAUAUCUGUAAUUGUCUAUACCUAAUUUGAUGCAGUGUCUAUAGUAUUACGUCUUAUGAAAAGGGACAGGAAAAUAGCGAUCCGUGUCUUUCAAGAAAGGAAAAAUAGGGCAAGACAUAUUUCCACAAGUGGUAUAGUCAGAUUUGAAUUUUCAAACAUCUAGUUUUAUGUUAUUUCUGGCACUAAAAAAAGUGUUAAUCAGAACCUGAUGGAUGAACAUGGACAAGGUCUGACAGAGUCAACAGGAAGAAAUUUAUUUAUAGGUAUUGUAUUUCUAACAAUGUUAGCAAACUAAAUUCUCAAUAGAACUCUUUGAAAUCUAGAUGAGAAAGCUGUGGGUAUUUUUACUGUAUUCUUAGUAGUGCCUUAAGCUUAAGAUAAAGACAGAGGGUGAGGCUCCAUCCUGAAUGAGCUGUGCAAGUAACCUUAGAACACCUAUGUCUUUCCUGAAUUUUCCUGCAUUUAUACUGUGGAUAUAAAUACAAUAGAAUUCAAUCAGAGAUUUUUAAGACUAAAACUUUGCCAAAAAUGGAAUAUGAUCCUUAUGUUUUGGCCUGUGUGCAUCAUUAUCAACUGUACAAGGUAUUUGAAAUGCACUAUAUGACAGAGUGAUGAUGGAACAAAGUUUAUGAAGCAUUAUACGCCGUGCAUGCUGGUAUUUCAAACACUAUUACCAAGAUUUCACGGUAUUUUAGCAUUUUUAUAUCGAAGAUAAUGAAAUGUUACACUGAGGGAAUUUAUACUGAAAGAAUAUGCAAUAAUGUGUUCCUCUGCAGUAUAAUGAAAUUAUGUUUUUGUUUUAUCUUCUUAACAGUCUCUUUCUGUACCUUUAAAAUAAGGGGCUCUGUAACACUGCCAGGAAGUCAGAAGCAUUGUGUUCCACUUCUUUGUUGCUUCCCAUGACUGGCUGUGCAAACCAAACACUGUCAGCAGUUUUAUUCAUCCUGCUAGCUAGGUAGGCAGCUGACGGGGGAACGGGCUGUCUUUCAUCCCAGGUGCGUCAGGUACAGUGUGUAAUCAGCUGGUAUUAGAUUUAAAGUGUUGUGGUUUUAUUAGUGUAAAAUAAACAAGCAUUAUGUUCUUAGCCUGCCUGCAGAUUUAACUACUCCUGUUUCUUUUAGCUAGAAAGACACUGUUAAUUGUUGCAGGUUUUCUGAGUAAGUCUCUUCCUUUCCUAUUAUUUUCUUAUAUUCUGUUUCCACCCACUAGAAAGAAAUUUUGGUAAACUUACAGGCCUGGAAGAGAAACAUAGGCUAAAAAAGACCACAUCUGGCUUUGGAGAGUCAUUCUGAAAGCUAGUGGCUUUCGGUAGAGACACAUCUAAUCUCUUAAUGCAUGUCUUUGUUUCAAGGAGAGGCUCAGGGGGAAAAAAUAUCCCAUCAUCUUCAACAGACCUGUGAAACAAUUGUCAGAACUGGCAUCUAUGCUUUGGAUCUGUUGCAAACUGGAUGCCUUAUGACUGGGUUAAUAUGCCACAUGACUUGAAUGUGAGAGCUGUAGGGGUGAGGAAGGAAGCUACUAUUUUGUGUGUGUGUGUGUAUGAGAGAGAGAGAGAAAAUAAUACUACUUAUUUAGAAAGGUAGAAUGGACUAGGGAUGAUUGAUGGUAAAUACAACUUUAAUUUUAUCAUCUCUUUGCUUUAAAUCAAAUGGCGAUUGUUUUUUUGUAAUUGGGAAUAUAUGAAUGUAAAUGAAGACAUGUAGAAUGAGUCAAAGGAGUUUGAAAUGGUGAUUUAUUAUAUGCUAUCAUAUACCAGAGCAAACACACAUGCAUUAAAGUGUAGAAGCUGUGAUUAAGUCAGUUUUAGCUCCCAGUUAUAUAUUCUUGAAUAAAAGAUCCUGCUGUUGUUGAGCAACAUAUUUGUAGAGAUAAAAUCAACAUUGUAGCUUAUACUGCUGCCUACCCUGUGUUAAAUCAUGUACAUUGUCAUGAGGUAUCAUAUGUCAUCUUAAAUUACUUCAUGUCAUGUGCUGUCUAUAAAUCAAGUACAGUUGAUUCUGGAAGGAAAGGAAUGGUUCAUUUAACAGAAAUCACAUUGCUAUAGCAAAGCAAGCUUAAAAUAGAAUCACUGGAUUUAAUAUCUGUAAUUUACUUCUAGAUUUGGUAAUCAUUUAAAGAGGCAACACGAUUUGCAUGACUUAAAUUUAAGGUGGGAUUAACAAAUUACAUUCUGCAAAUUUUUUAGCCUACUUUUUUAUCAAUUAUACAUUUAUAUUGGAAAUUAGAUUUUUAAAUUUACUGCUACGUUUCUACAAAUUCAAUUACAUCAUGUGUUUGUCAUUGACCUAGAAACCUCCAUUAACUUAUUCAGACAUUAUGCAAAAUCAGUGGUAUAUAAAUUAUUUUUCACAUUCCUUAAAAUACCCUGAAUAAUUGUAUAUUCCUGUUUGCACUUGUCUUUGUGAAAUGGCAACAACUUUAUAGAAGACAGUACUUUGGAACUUAGAAAAAAUAUUCUGGUAUUUUAAUGUGCGGGAUUCAGGGUGCUUUAAGAUCUAGCUUAGCUAAUGUAAUAUUGUCUGUAUAUUAAAAGGUGAAUGAAACUGACAAUUAAAUUUUUAAACUUAUUAGGGAGUUGUUGCUAUAACUGAUUAGACAGUCAGCUGUUGAGACAGUAGCUUUUAUAUAACAGGAUAUUGUUUUGUUCAUCAUGUUACCACAUUUGGCAAACUUUUAUCUUAAUGCGCCUAUCGGGAAUACCAGUCUGACCUCAAUCUGAGUAAAGCCUUAAUAGUCGACGUGAGGGAUGCUUGCAGGAGGUGGCACGGUCGUUUUCGCAGACUGUAUAUUUGUUAUCGCAUGUUAAUCAGAUUCAUCAUUCUGUUUAAUAAAGAUUUCAUCUGCCA